rnacentral:rRNA from 1 species
AUUGAACGCUGGCGGCAGGCCUAACACAUGCAAGUCGAGCGGAUGAAGGGAGCUUGCUCCUGGAUUCAGCGGCGGACGGGUGAGUAAUGCCUAGGAAUCUGCCUGGUAGUGGGGGAUAACGUCCGGAAACGGGCGCUAAUACCGCAUACGUCCUGAGGGAGAAAGUGGGGGAUCUUCGGACCUCACGCUAUCAGAUGAGCCUAGGUCGGAUUAGCUAGUUGGUGGGGUAAAGGCCUACCAAGGCGACGAUCCGUAACUGGUCUGAGAGGAUGAUCAGUCACACUGGAACUGAGACACGGUCCAGACUCCUACGGGAGGCAGCAGUGGGGAAUAUUGGACAAUGGGCGAAAGCCUGAUCCAGCCAUGCCGCGUGUGUGAAGAAGGUCUUCGGAUUGUAAAGUACUUUAAGUUGGGAGGAAGGGCAGUAAGUUAAUACCUUGCUGUUUUGACGUUACCAACAGAAUGAGCACCGGCUAACUUCGUG